GAUGAAGAACGUAGCGAAAUGCGAUACUUGGUGUGAAUUGCAGAAUCCCGUGAACCAUCGAGUCUUUGAACGCAAGUUGCGCCUCAAGCCAUUAGGUUGAGGGCACGUCUGCCUGGGCGUCACAUAUCGUUGCCUGAUGCCAGUUUCCUCGUGAUGGGUGACUGUGCAGGGCGAAUGAUGGCUUCCCGUGAGCAUUGUUGCCUCAUGGUUGGUUGAAAAUUGAGUCCUUGGUAGGGAGCGCCGUGAUAGAUGGUGGUUGAGUGACGAACGAGACCCAAUCAUGUGAGACCCCUACCGAAUUUGGCCUUCAUGACCCACAUGCGUCUUUGGAACGCUCAUGACGAGACCUCAGGUCAGGCGGGGCUACCCGCUGCGUUUAAGCAUAUCAAUAAGCGGAGGA
rnacentral:misc_RNA from 1 species